UACAGAGGGUGCAAACGUUGUUCGGAAUUACUGGGCGUAAGGCGCGUGUAGGCGGCUGCGCAAGUCGGAUGUGAAAUCCCAUGGCUCAACCAUGGAAGUGCACCCGAAACUGCGUAGCUAGAGUCUCGGAGAGGAAGGCGGAAUGCUUGGUGUAGAGGUGAAAUUCGUAGAUAUCAAGCGGAACACCGGUGGCGAAGGCGGCCUUCUGGACGAUGACUGACGCUGAGACGCGAAAGCGUGGGGAGCAAACAGG
rnacentral:rRNA from 1 species